CCUGUUUUACAAAAACAUAGCCUAUAACUUAACUUUAGGUACAACCCUGCCCUCUGAAAUUUUAACAGCCGCGGUAUCCUAACCGUGCUAAGGUAGCAUAAUCAUUUGCCUAUUAAUUAUAGGCUAGCAUGAACGGGAUCACUCACUUAAAUUUAUUUUCACUACAAUUAAAAUUAAACUUUAAGUUAAAAUACUAAAUUUUUAAGAAAGACAAAAAGACCCUGAAAACUAUUAGAAGAUAAUUAGUUGGGGCAACUAUAGACCAUAAACAGCGUCUAUUAAAAUUCGAAUUUUAAAAUUCAAAGCACACAGUUACUUCAGGGAUAACAGACUAAUUGUAUUAUUUAGACCUAAUAAAUAAUAAAGAUUGGCACCUCGAUGUUGGCUUAUAAUUCCUUCAUAUAGUAACAUAUAUUGAUGGCAGCUUGUUCAUCUGAUAAAUAUUUACAUGAGCUGAGUUCAGACCGGCGUAAGCA
rnacentral:rRNA from 1 species